rnacentral:lncRNA from 1 species
ACCGGCUCCAGCCGCCGCCGCCGCCUCAGAAGCUCCGAGUGCCAGUUCCCUCAGCCUGAGGAGGGAUGGGGGGCGAUGGCUCCGGGUUCUAGCCCGCCUGUCCUCGGCCCCCACUUCUGGAAUGAGCCGGCCCGCCCCCUAACUCUCAGGCCACAGCUCCGGCCGCAGCUCUGGCUCCGGCUCCGCGGCGGAUCCCACAAGCCCGGCAGCCGCGGCGGUGGCGGUGGCAGUGGCGGCGGCAGGCGGCAUCCCAGGGUGAUAGGCUGAAGCAAUCGAGCGCCGAGAGCCCGGCCGCGUGUGCACUCGAGUAACGAAGCGGGGGAGGGACUGCGCCAAAGGCAGGAAAAGUCGGACACCGAAUUAUUCAUCCGGCCUGUCCCGCCUACUUUCCAAAUACCCUCCCGGGGAGAGCAGGAGAUGGAAGAAGCUGCUUUAUCUUACAGUCACCCAAGGGGGACCGCCGCCUUCCUUCCCAGAGUGGAGUGGCAGUGGGUCCGGGAUUCUGGGAUAUGCACAGGGUCUGCACCCUGCGCCCUGUCCGCGCUGAAGCUGGACUUGUCAUUGGUUUACAACAGCAUGGUGAAGAAGUGUGGUGUGGAUGGAUGGACGGGCCUCGCAGGCACAUGAAAUGCUCAAAAGCCCAGUAUUAACCAAACAUGUUUCUCCGUUUUGUCUUUGAUCUUUGUGCAGUGUGUUGGCUUUUUUCCUUUAAUGAUGUCACUUGUAUUUUAUUUUUGGUUUAUUUGUAGACUGUCCCUGUCCUUGGCCGUGGCUUUACUUUUAUGUCCAAGGCGAGAUUCACCAGUUUAGGUUUAAGAAAUUUCUGACAAGUUAACAAUAAUUUCAAACUUGAACAAUAAUAACUUAAACCGUGCCUUGCACAUAGUAGAUCUCCAACAGUGUUUCUUGUAUGUGGCUACCUAAUGUGGAACGAGAUUUUUCGUAACGCUAUUUUUAAUACUUUUUGGGAGGUUCUUUAGUCCCCCCCCCCUCCCUACUUUGCACAAAGAGACUAAUCUACAAGGGGUCCUGUUAAUUUUCUGGUUUUGUGAUGUCCUGGCAUAUUGUUUGGGCUUACUGAGAGUUAACAAGGAUGUAUUUUGUGAGUUUCUUCGAACUCUUAUUUAGAGUAAUAGUAUUUCAAAGCAAGAAAUGUUUUAGAGAUAACCUCAUUCUGCCUCUUGUUUAACAGGUGAGGAAACUGAGGAAAAACCAGCUUACCUGGCAAAUCAACCACAAGUACAGAUAGUUCCACAAUGACUUGAUGGAUAUUACUUCAACUUUGUUCCCUCAAGAACCUUUUGUGAUUAAGCUUGUUGAUCUGUGGCUUGAUGGUUUACUGGAAUGGUCCUUUUUAAUAUCUAGGACCCUGCUUCCUUGCUUACUUGACUGGCUGCAUAGUCAGUCUUCCAUGUGUAAACAAUAGUGUGUGCUUUAGUGGAUAAGAGAUGUUGAAGUCAGGAGAUUGCCGAGCUCAGCACUGAGCAGACCUAGAGCAUUUGUAUUUAUACUAAAUUAAUGCCAUGGUAACAUAAGUUAGAGAGCAAGUGAAAAUGGCAUCAAAUGUACAAAGUUGAGUAUCUCUUUACUAGUCAAUGUAUAAGGAAUUUAUUUACCCAAGCAAUUAUCUUAAAAACAGCAUUACAAGUGGUAUGCGAAACGUUUCCAGGAUUUAUUUCCACAUUUGCUCUUUCCGUGGCAUCAUCCAUUCCUGAGCUCAAGAAAAGGCGUCUGCCAACCCGCAGUAAUCCUGCUUUUUUAACUGUAAGUUCUGGGAUGCAUGUGCAGAACAUGCAGGUUUGUUACACAGGUAGACAUGUGCCAUGGUGGUUUGCUGCACCCAUCAACCCAUCAUCUAGGUUUUAAGCCCUGCAUUCGUUAGGUAUUUGUCCUGAUGCUCUUCCUCCACUUUCCCCCAUCCCCCGACAGGACCCAGUAUGUGAUAUUACCCUUCCUGUGUCCAUGUGUUCUCAUUGUUCAACUCCCACUUAUGAGUGAGAACAGGCAGAGUUUGGUUUUCUGUCGUGUUACUUUGCUGAGAAUGAUGGCUUCCAGCUUCAUCCACGUCCCCGCAAAGGACAUGAACUCAUUCCUUUUUAUGGCUGCAUAGUAUUCCAUGGUGUAUAUGUGCCACAUUUUCUUUAUCCAGUCUAUCAUCAGUGGGCAUUUGGGUUGGUUCCAAGUCUUUGCUAUUGUAAAUAGCGCUGCAAUAAACAGAUGUUUGCAUGUG